rnacentral:rRNA from 1 species
ACUUUAAUUGAAGAGUUUGAUCAUGGCUCAGAUUGAACGCUGGCGGCAGGCCUAACACAUGCAAGUCGAGCGGUAACAGAAAAGAAGCUUGCUUCUUUUGCUGACGAGCGGCGGACGGGUGAGUAAUGCCUGGGAAUAUACCCUGAUGUGGGGGAUAACUAUUGGAAACGAUAGCUAAUACCGCAUAAUCUCUUCGGAGCAAAGAGGGGGACCUUCGGGCCUCUC